GCACCUGUGUUUAGGGUUGUAGGCUACACCGUAUCACCUUGUGAAAUCCACAACAAUAGGCUACUGAAUUUUAACUAUAACCGAGGAAGAUUAAACACUCUUGUUUUAAGAAAGACAUAGGCUACAAUCAUCGAAUUUAGAGUUCCUAAAACCAUUUUCAGUAGCCUAGCUGGUUUAUCAGCCAGAUGUAGCCUACCCGAUUCAACCAGUCCUGCUGACAUUUCAAACCGGGAAACCACCGAAAAGGCGAAUGCAUUUAGUCGGAAAUACCAGGACGUUUGCCUGGAAGCAGGCCUACCCCAAAUUUUCAACCGUGCCGUUGCCAAUGGCAGGCUAUACAAACAUGGCAAAAACACUUAAUUAACAGUUAGGUCUACUUCGAUUAAUUAACAUCCGGUGCCACGACUAGUCUACUACUUCUAGCCAGCCCUGGCCAAGUAUAGCCUACUUGACUGCUCAGAUUUACCGCGCCGCGGUGAUGUAAGCGGCACAGGGCGACUGCGAUGACAACAAGCACACAUUAGAGACUGGGUCGCCACGGUAAAGACAGAUCGAGUGACGGGCCGGUGGCUGGGAAACCCGAGAACAAGUAGAACAAAGCGCCCGUGUCUGCGCCGGUAGGCUGCCGGUGGUGCUAAUGGUGAAAACACAUGCGGCGGUGCUCGGCUUUCGCAGGGAGCCGCGGAGCCGCUCGGUCGCCGGGGCAACGGCACUGACGGCGGAUUAGCAUGGCUUUAGGGGGCGACGCAGGCCCCCGCAUCACAGCGGCCCGACAACCUCUCAGCUCUCACCCAAUCUCAUUGUCACGCUCGUCUCUGUGUCAUGCUCAACUUCAUACGGUGGAGUGUGGAAAGAGUGCUGUUUCUGCUCCCAAUGGGCUGAGGGACUGAAAGCAAGAGAAGAGAAGAGAAGAGAAGAGAAGAGAAGAGAAGAGAAGAGAAGAGAAGAGAAGAGAAGAGAAGAGAAGAGAAGAGAAGAGAAGAGAAGAGAAGAGAAGAGAAGAGAGCAGAGGAGAAAAGAGUUGUACUUCUGGUGAUCAGCCAUAGAGGGGAGCUACUGCAGCAGGAAGUGUCGUAUCGUAGCUCUGCUGAAGUAAGACCCACACACACGGACAGAAACACACUCAGAUAUACAUACACGAGGGCACAUAAAAAAAUGAACACCAUGGACACUGGCUCAUGUGUCCACUCACUUAUUCUUGUAUAA